UACGUAGGUGACCAGCGUUGUCCGGAUUUACUGGGCGUAAAGGGUGCGUAGGCGGCGGGGCAAGUCUGAUGUGAAAUCCCGGGGCUCAACUCCGGAACUGCAUUCGAUACUGCCGUGCUUGAGGACUGGAGAGGAGACUGGAAUUUACGGUGUAGCGGUGAAAUGCGUAGAUAUCGUAAGGAAGACCAGUGGCGAAGGCGGGUCUCUGGACAGUUCCUGACGCUGAGGCACGAAGGCCAGGGGAGCAAACGGG
rnacentral:rRNA from 1 species